rnacentral:tRNA from 13 species
AACGUUUCGAUCUUUAUUGAGAUCAUCUUCAGGGCUCAAAAUGUUUGUUUUCUGCGUAAGUGUGCCAAACACUUUGAGCCCUGAAGAUGAUCUCAAUAAAGAUCGAAACGU